AUUGAACGCUGGCGGCAGGCCUAACACAUGCAAGUCGAGCGGAUGAACGGAGCUUGCUCUUGGACUCAGCGGCGGACGGGUGAGUAAUGCCUAGGAAUCUGCCUGGUCGUGGGGGAUAACGUCCGGAAACGGGCGCUAAUACCGCAUACGUCCUGAGGGAGAAAGUGGGGGAUCUUCGGACCUCACGCUAUCAGAUGAGCCUAGGUCGGAUUAGCUAGUUGGUGGGGUAAAGGCCUACCAAGGCGACGAUCCGUAACUGGUCUGAGAGGAUGAUCAGUCACACUGGAACUGAGACACGGUCCAGACUCCUACGGGAGGCAGCAGUGGGGAAUAUUGGACAAUGGGCGAAAGCCUGAUCCAGCCAUGCCGCGUGUGUGAAGAAGGUCUUCGGAUUGUAAAGCACUUUAAGUUGGGAGGAAGGGCAGUGAGUUAAUACCUUGCUGUUUUGACGGUACCAACAGAAUAAGCACCGGCUAACUUCGUG
rnacentral:rRNA from 1 species